CACUUCUAAGGAAGGCAGCAGGCGCGCAAAUUACCCAAUCCUGACUCAGGGAGGUAGUGACAAGAAAUAACAAUAAACCGGCUUAUGCCGGUUUAAUUGGAAUGAGUACAAUUUAAACAUCUUAACGAGGAACAAUUGGAGGGCAAGUCUGGUGCCAGCAGCCGCGGUAAUUCCAGCUCCAAUAGCGUAUACUAAAGUUGUUGCAGUUAAAAAGCUCGUAGUUGGAUUUCUGUGGGGACGGAGCGGCCGGCCGCAACACGCGGUUCGAGCUAGCGCUUUCCCUACAUCCUGCCGCGAACCGUGCUACCAUUAAUUUGGUGGCGCCGGGGAUCGGCUCGAUUACUUUGAGAAAAAUAGAGUGUUCAAAGCAGGCCACAUGCCUUGAAUAAGUUAGCAUGGAAUAAUAACUAAGGACUUCGGUCCUAUUUUGUUGGUGUUCGGGACUGAAGUAAUGAUUGAUAGGGACAGUUGGGGCGGUCUGUAUUCCAAAGCGAGAGGUGAAAUUCUUAGACCUUCGGAAGACAAACAGCUGCGAAAGCGUUCCGCAAGGAUGUUCCCUUUGAUCAAGAAUGAAAGUUGGGGGAUCGAAGACGAUCAGAUACCGUCGUAGUCUCAACUAUAAACUAUACCAGCUAGGGAUCGGCCAACGUUAUUCUAUACCGACUUGGUCGGCACCUUAUGAGAAAUCAAAGCAUCUGGGUUCCGGGGGGAGUAUGGUCGCAAGGCUGAAACUUAAAGGAAUUGACGGAAGGGCACCACCAGCCGUGGAGCCUGUGGCUUAAUUUGACUCAACACGGGAAAACUUACCAGGUCCAGACAUAGUAAGGAUUGACAGAUUGAUAGCUCUUUCUUGAUUCUGUGGGUGGUGGUGCAUGGCCGUUCUUAGUUGGUGGAGUGAUUUGUCUGGUUAAUUCCGUUAACGAACGAGACCCCAGCCUGCUAAAUAGCGCGCGUGAGCUUUGCUCGCGGCGAGCUUCUUAGAGGGACUCUGAUGCGCGAUAGCACAUGGAAGUUUGGGGCAAUAACAGGUCUGUGAUGCCCUUAGAUGUUCUGGGCCGCACACGGGCUACACUGGCGCCUGCAACGAGCAUAUCAGCUGGCCCGAGAGGGUCUUGGCUAAUCUUUUGAACCGGCGCCGUGCUUGGGAUUGACCUUUGCAAUUGUUGG
rnacentral:rRNA from 1 species